rnacentral:lncRNA from 1 species
UCCUCAUCCCUGUUCACCUGCAGCCCGCCCUCUUGGACUUUGUUAGUGAACUGCGGAGUUUGGACACUUGGGACCGCUCCGAGGGGACACCGGAGCUGGUGUCGAGACAGGCAGCAAGCUACAGAUAAAAACUUAUCCAGAGUGAGUUUAGGAAAGAGGGGAAGAAAAUCUGAAAUAGUUUUGCUGGUCAUAAAAAGGGCACUGCAUUGCCAUGAACUACUCGAGCCAGUAAUGCAGUAGCCAAGAUCUCAGGCUAUAUUAUCCUAUACCAUAAACUGCACAAAUCCAGGCUUGGAAUGAGAGCCCCCAUCCCGAAACCAGUACUAGGAUGUGAUUAAAAAAAAUAUUCUGCCUUCAAGAGCUGCCACCAUGCUUCUAUCAAAGAAAUAAGCAAAGGGGGACUGAGAACAACAGCAAGGAUGACACGUGAUUCAAGGGACAGCCUGUCAGCAGAGCAGACCUGCAGUCUGAGGGGUUCCUGUGCCGAGACGCCACAGGAGAAGCCUGAUGGAGAGGGGCUUGCGGACAAGAGCGAGAGAAAACUACAUUCACAGUAAAUAAAAGCAUCACCCACAGAGGAUCUCUCAACUCAGUGACCUUUGAAGUUGCAAGAACACAUGGCCUAGACAGGUAAGGGAAUUCCAUUACUCAUUAUUUUCUGGUGGUUUUGUCCUGUGAAGCAUGCUCGUACAAGGGAAGAGCAGUUUGCAAAACUGUGUUUAAAGAGAAGUGGAU